CAGUCGAGCGAGCUUGCCUAGAUGAUUUUAGUGCUUGCACUAAAUGAAACUAGAUACAAGCGAGCGGCGGACGGGUGAGUAACACGUGGGUAACCUGCCCAAGAGACUGGGAUAACACCUGGAAACAGAUGCUAAUACCGGAUAACAACACUAGACGCAUGUCUAGAGUUUGAAAGAUGGUUCUGCUAUCACUCUUGGAUGGACCUGCGGUGCAUUAGCUAGUUGGUAAGGUAACGGCUUACCAAGGCAAUGAUGCAUAGCCGAGUUGAGAGACUGAUCGGCCACAUUGGGACUGAGACACGGCCCAAACUCCUACGGGAGGCAGCAGUAGGGAAUCUUCCACAAUGGACGAAAGUCUGAUGGAGCAACGCCGCGUGAGUGAAGAAGGGUUUCGGCUCGUAAAGCUCUGUUGGUAGUGAAGAAAGAUAGAGGUAGUAACUGGCCUUUAUUUGACGGUAAUUACUUAGAAAGUCACGGCUAACUACGUGCCAGCAGCCGCGGUAAUACGUAGGUGGCAAGCGUUGUCCGGAUUUAUUGGGCGUAAAGCGAGUGCAGGCGGUUCAAUAAGUCUGAUGUGAAAGCCUUCGGCUCAACCGGAGAAUUGCAUCAGAAACUGUUGAACUUGAGUGCAGAAGAGGAGAGUGGAACUCCAUGUGUAGCGGUGGAAUGCGUAGAUAUAUGGAAGAACACCAGUGGCGAAGGCGGCUCUCUGGUCUGCAACUGACGCUGAGGCUCGAAAGCAUGGGUAGCGAACAGGAUUAGAUACCCUGGUAGUCCAUGCCGUAAACGAUGAGUGCUAAGUGUUGGGAGG
rnacentral:rRNA from 1 species